rnacentral:rRNA from 1 species
CCCUGAUGUUAGCGCCGCGUGACGGGUGAGUAACACGUGGGUAACCUGCCUGUAAGACUGGGAUAACUCCGGGAAACCGGGGCUAAUACCGGAUGGUUGUUUGAACCGCAUGGUUCAAACAUAAAAGGUGGCUUCGGCUACCACUUACAGAUGGACCCGCGGCGCAUUAGCUAGUUGGUGAGGUAACGGCUCACCAAGGCGACGAUGCGUAGCCGACCUGAGAGGGUGAUCGGCCACACUGGGACUGAGACACGGCCCAGACUCCUACGGGAGGCAGCAGUAGGGAAUCUUCCGCAAUGGACGAAAGUCUGACGGAGCAACGCCGCGUGAGUGAUGAAGGUUUUCGGAUCGUAAAGCUCUGUUGUUAGGGAAGAACAAGUACCGUUCGAAUAGGGCGGUACCUUGACGGUACCUAACCAGAAAGCCACGGCUAACUACGUGCCAGCAGCCGCGGUAAUACGUAGGUGGCAAGCGUUGUCCGGAAUUAUUGGGCGUAAAGGGCUCGCAGGCGGUUUCUUAAGUCUGAUGUGAAAGCCCCCGGCUCAACCGGGGAGGGUCAUUGGAAACUGGGGAACUUGAGUGCAGAAGAGGAGAGUGGAAUUCCACGUGUAGCGGUGAAAUGCGUAGAGAUGUGGAGGAACACCAGUGGCGAAGGCGACUCUCUGGUCUGUAACUGACGCUGAGGAGCGAAAGCGUGGGGAGCGAACAGGAUUAGAUACCCUGGUAGUCCACGCCGUAAACGAUGAGUGCUAAGUGUUAGGGGGUUUCCGCCCCUUAGUGCUGCAGCUAACGCAUUAAGCACUCCGCCUGGGGAGUACGGUCGCAAGACUGAAACUCAAAGGAAU